rnacentral:rRNA from 1 species
AUUGAACGCUAGCGGGAUGCUUUACACAUGCAAGUCGAACGGAGUGGCGGAAGGGUGAGUAAUAUAUCGGAAUGGGCGUAGUAGCGGGGGAUAACUAACCGAAAGUGUGGCUAAUACCGCCUACAAUUGGAGCGGCCGAAAUCGGAUUAGCUAGUUGGAGUGGUAAAGGCUCACCAAGACAAGGAUCCGUAGCUGGUUUGAGAGGAUGACCAGCCACACUGGGACUGAGACACGGCCCAGACUCCUACGUGAGGCAGCAGAGGGGAAUUUUGGACAAUGGGGGAAACCCUGAUACAGCCAUCCCGCGUGUAUGAUGAAGGCCUUCGGGUUGUAAAGUACUUUUGGCAGGGAAGCGGUAUCUGCAGAAUAAGCACCGGCUAACUACGUGCCAGCAGCCGCGGUAAUUC